UAUUCUGCAAUCGGAGCGGCGCAAGGGUGCGUAACACGUGGGCAAUCUGCCGUGAAGUUUGGGAUAAUUCCGCGAAAGCGGGACUAAUACCGGAUGUGGCAACUGGGAGGCAUCUUCUGGUUGCUAAAGUUGGGGACCGCAAGGCCUGACGCUUCACGAUGAACCCGCGGCCUAUCAGCUAGUUGGUGAGGUAACGGCUCACCAAGGCAAAGACGGGUAGCUGGUCUGAGAGGACGACCAGCCACACUGGAACUGAGACACGGUCCAGACACCUACGGGUGGCAGCAGUCGAGAAUUUUUCACAAUGGGCGCAAGCCUGAUGGAGCGACGCCGCGUGGGGGAUGAAUGGCUUCGGCCCGUAAACCCCUGUCAUUCGCGAUCAAACGUUGGUAUUUAAAAGAUGCCAGCCUGAUAGUAGCGGAAGAGGAAGGGACGGCUAACUCUGUGCCAGCAGCCGCGGUAAUACAGAGGUCCCGAGCGUUGUUCGGAUUCACUGGGCGUAAAGGGUGCGUAGGUGGUGAGGUAAGUCGGAUGUGAAAGCUCGGAGCUCAACUCCGAAAUGGCAUUGGAAACUACCUUGCUUGAGGAUUGG
rnacentral:rRNA from 1 species